rnacentral:lncRNA from 10 species
GUGGGUGGGGUCCUAUUCUAAACCUUUUCCAUGUAUAAACUCAUUUAAACAUACAUCUUUAUAUAAGUGGGCUAGUGUUUCCAUAGGCUAGAUGCCUGGAAGAGGGACUGGUAGGUUAGAGGCCAAGUGCAUUUAAAAUUUUGAUUGCAAUUUUCCUCCCCAAACAGGCAAGUAUUUAUUAAGUGUCAGCUCUAAGUGCAACACCCUCUUAGGCAUUCUUUGGAAUGCACAGACACAUGAGAUAGGGGCCCUCCCACAGGUUUACAAGAGUGGAGAGACAAGCUGGUACAAGUCGCCAGGUGAUGAAAACAGUCAUUCCACAAGGCAAAGCUGGUGGCAUAUGCUGGGAGCACUACAGGCCCGACUCCCAGUUCCAGCCUGAACACUGGUCAGCUGAAGACAACGCUGCCACCUUCAUCUCUUCCCUGCCUGUCCUGCUUACAACAGUUGCAAGAAGUUUAUACCCACAUUAAGCCCCCAGAGGCAGGCUGGCAGCCAGCCUUCGCCACUGGUGCAGAGAACUGAGUCAACCACCCGGUGUUCCUGGCUGCUCCCCCUGAGAAGCUUUCCCACCCUGUUCCCUGAGUCGAGAGUCUUGGCUGGGCACCUGCUGCACUGUGGACGUGCGGACGCGGCCUCCAGAAGGGGGAAGGGAGCCCUGGCUGGCUUCUCUGAGACGUGUUGAGUGGCUUGCCAUUGAAGACUGUUUCCUCACUCAGGCAGCUGCAUGCCCCAAGUGAGUGACUUCCUCUCUCUGGACUCAGUUUCUGAAUCUGUAGACAAAGAGGGUGGACCAGAUGGUCUUGGAGGUGCCUUCCAGGUCACAUCUCUCCUGUUUCUAACAGCAGGUGGAAGCAGGUGAGGAGGGCAGUCGGGCAGAGAGGAAUGGAGAGGAAUUCCCCCACAGAGGCUCUUGGGAACCACACAAUUCCCCAUUCUGGUGCCACCUGCUUCAAGGAUGUGAGUGAGAGCAGUGCUGGCCUUGAAGCCUACAUCGGUGGGUAGUCUAGCCUCCCUAGAUGUGUCCUUAGGUGUCAUGGGAUCCAUAUCUGGAUCAUCAAGGAGACCUCACUUAGGCUUCUCUUGACUUACCAGGAAAGGCUAAGUCUUGCUUCGGGCAGGCAGCUGCCUCUGGGGCCCGGGCCUGUGGCCCCAGGGGAAAGAAUUGUUGCCCCAAGAUGCUCAUGCAAUGUUGUGUGACUGUGGCAAGGCUGUGCCAUUUUAGCUGGGAUCAACACGCUAAUGGGCACAGGUCCAGGGGGAGUGCAGGUGCCUUCCUGGGUGCAAAGUGGCCCUCAUCCCCAUAGCACACAAUGUCUGCACAGCUGAGGCUGGAAGGGACUGGCUGAGGGCCGUGCUGGUGUGGGCAGAUCCCUGGAAGAUCACCUGGGCCAUCUCCUCAUUCUAAAGAUGAGAAGAACGAGGCUUGGAGAGGAUGAGUGUCUUGUUGAGGGUUGCACAGCAAGUUGGGGACACAGCUGCAGGAAAUCCAAGUCUCCUGAUUCCUAGCCCAUGAUAUUUUCUCUCCCACCAAGUUGAAAGGCUGAGGUGAUGGGAGGCCUGGCAUACCACAGAUGGAAACUUGCAUCGUUGCCCCCGGGGCUCAGAUGAUUCUCUAAAAAUGUGUCUGAGGAAGUGAGAGUGCAGGGCCUCUCCUCACACGUUGGAGCUGUAAGUAGGGCACGUGCUUUCAGCUCCAGGCAGGACUGGAGAAGGUUAUGGAAGGGCAGCCAACCAAGAAGCACUUAUUUAAGCAUUUUUAUGUGCCUAGCCCUGAGCUAGGCAUAGUAGGGCAUAAAGGAGCUUUGAAGGACCCUCCCAACACAGCAAUUUCACUGCAGCUGGUGAGCAAAUUUAACUCACAAAUCAAUUACAAAAACAACCUCAUGCAAGCUACUGUUUGUGUAAUAAAAUGUAAGAACAUAUAUUUGUAUUUGCGUAAAGGAAAUCUGGAAGGAUAUAAAAAGAUAAUAAAAGUGUUAACUAAACAGUUACGUGAUGGGGUGGGGGUGAGAUUUUUGUCCUUUGUACCUUUUAAUUACAAAAUUAUUUUGAACUAUGUGAAUGCAUUUUCUUUGCAAAACAUUAAAUACAAACAAUAACAAAAAACCCAGACAACUAAAUGUGAAUUGGGUGGCAAGGGGCCAAAGGGAUUUGGGAAAAGCAGAGUUCAGAAGAUGUCAUAGAGCUGAUCCAGGUUUCUGGAAGGCCAGAACUGGAAGAGACUGUUGGCGUUAUUUUGUCCAACUUCCCAUUCAAUGCUCGUGUGUUUUGUACAACAGCCAAGACAUGGACCUUCGAGAGUCCCUCACUCAAUAAUUCCUAAAUGCUAUGGCAUGACAGUGCUAACCUAGGGGUCACAAUGCACAGAUAGGUCGGUCCCUGUCUCAAUGGCCUUAUGUUCUCCAAGUGUACCCUUGACUGAAGUGCCAAGGAGAUUCUGAUUCCUAGGGAAAAACAAGAAACACAGGAGUUAAAGGGCUUGGAAGGAGGAUAGAAUUAGGGAAAGCAGCAGAGUUUAGUUAGGAUUUGAAAUAAAUCUCAAAGGAGGGGUCAAGUUUUGACAAUCGGAGGACAGGAGUACCAGGUGGUAGGGAUAUGGAUAAAGAUAGAGAUAGAGGCAUGUUCUCAGGAUUAGCAGGGGACUAGGCCAGGUAGGGUGGAAUAGUAGGGUGGGAAUCUGGGUGAGUAUAUGUUGUAGAUUGUAUUGACUGUCAGUUUGAGCUUUUUUUUUUUUUUUUAAUUCAAUAGAACAUGGAGAACCAAUAAAGAUUCCUGAGCAUGUGCUUGAGUCAUUCUUCUUGAAAUUCUCCAGUGAGUGGGAACUCCCUAUUUCAUCCAAGAACUCAUGAGGAUGAGCUUCUUGGAAGCAGUAGGAAUUGAUCUGGGGCUUCAAGGAUCAGAAUGUCGAAGGUACUCUGGGUGGAGGGAAGAACGAGUCUAGUGUUAAUGCGCACUGGGAAAGGAUUUUGAGCAUGAGAGAGCAUAUCCAUGCUGUGCGUUGGGUAGACAGCUCUGGCUGUGCUAUCUAGGAUAGGCUGGAGGAAGGGUUGCUUGAAGCAGCAUGACAAGUUAGGAGUCCCUCACAAUUGUCCUAAGAAGAGAUUCUGAAAGCCUGACUUAGGAGGUAGUAAUGGGAGUGGAAAGGCACACUGGAAAGACUCAUUCCUCUCCUAUCCCUGAGGUCCUCUUUGCUUGGAUUAGAACAAAACAAAACAAGACAAAACAACCAACAAACUUCUGACUCACUUGCCAGUCUCAAGGGAAGAGACUAUCCUUAGCUCAACAGUCCAAGAUCUCUGUUUACUAGAUAUUUUCCUGGGUCAUUUCUUUAUUUCCUGUGCCACUGGCAGGGGGUGGCAGCUGUGGUCACCCUGGCCCUGGUGUUUUUUGGCAUUUUGCUGCAGUUUAGAUUGUGUUGAUGGUAGGAUAAACAUUUCCAUCCUUGGGCAUCUUGUUCCAUGCCAGAGGAAAGGUACUCAACGGUGUUGAAGCCACUGAUACAGCUGGCCUCAACCUUCUCAUCUUGCAUAUGAGAAAAUGGAGGUCCGGAGAGUUAAAGAACAUGUUCAAAUCAUGUGGGGAGAAGUGGGGACACAGGAGCAG